UAAAUGCUGACCAGGGGUCACCCGGCUGCCUAAUAAUAACAGAUAUCAGAAACUAAACCUAGACUAGGCCAUAUAUUAUAGUAUUGAUUUUAAUGGGAAUUUUGAUAGUGGUGUUAGUACAGUCUUGUGAUAGUAUUAAUGUGUCGUAAAUAUAUAAUAUAUAUAAUUUGGCCUUAGUAAUAUUCCGACUCAAUUAAAUAUUGUUAUAAAUAUUAUGUGGUCUAUUGAUACGAAAUGUAUAUUAGUAGAAAAGUGGCAAGGUUUAAUGAUAAUAAUAAAAUACAUAAUUAUCUAUAAUUAAAUGGUUUGUUUCAUUCAAUUUGUCUUUGUCCAUUAAAACAUGAUCUUUAUCUGUACGUCUAGCUAAACAUCAGCUUUUAUAUUAUUAUAAUAUUGUACCUACAGUUUUAACUGUUGUCAUGAUACCAUCGGACCUGUCCAGCGUAGGAGGCAUUAGUUACCCAUUUGCGAAAAAUGUGAAUACAAUCUACGAAGUAUAUAUGCACCAUUGAAAAUACACUUUUGUUGUUUUUGUUAACAUCAUUCUGACAAUUUUUUAUGUUUUCCGUUAGGCAGAAACACUGUUGUACCGUGCAAAGGAUAUUAUGUCACUAAUACAAUGGCCUAUUCCACUGGUCGUUCUUCGUUAAAAAUCGCCCACCUGCGCAGUGGUAAAAUCCGACUUACCAAGACGACUAAUAGAAAACUAAAUACUCGACAAAACAAAAUGGCUGCAUAGUUACACGCUGCGUAAUCAAGGCUGCUUCCGAUUGUGGCAGUAUGGGUUUUUCGUAAAAAAAAAUGUUUUCAUCCCGUUUUUUAACUCUGUUAACCUACAAUUAUUUUUUGACUUCAUCGUUGGUAAUAUUGUAAUUUUUAUUUUUUGAAAUUUAAAUCUAAAUUAUAUUAACGUAAAUGUUGUUGCUAAACUGACCAAUCCAAUCUGUAUAGACAAUGCGAAGUGACCUAAGUAGAAGCUCGCCGCCUUACCGUUGACUAGCACUUCUUCAGAAUGUGUAGUGGUGGAUCCAAAGAUGUACGAAAAGAGUUGUUGUUUUGGAUGAAACGUUAGUUAUUGUGUGUGCCGCUGAUACAGAAGUGUUAUCCAAUAAAUCUAUCUCAGGGGUAAGCUGCAUUCCAGACGAUGGUGAAGUUGUGGAAAAUUCCCGGCUUUAGUUAUUUGCAUUUGUACGAUCCUGUUGGUGACUACUCUCAGUAACCUACUUGUGUACUGAUACCACUGACAACAAAAGAGUGAUACAUUAACAUCCUGUUGGUGACUACUCUCAGUAACCUACUUGUGUACUGAUACCAC